rnacentral:rRNA from 1 species
CGGGAAACUGGUGCUAAUACCGGAUACGUACGUAAGGGGGCAUCCCUUUACGUAGAAGGGCGAUGCAAAUCGCUACUGAUGGAUGGGUCCGCGUCCCAUUAGCUAGUUGGCCCGGUAAUGGCCUACCAAGGCGACGAUGGGUAGCCGGCCUGAGAGGGUGGCCGGCCACACUGGGACUGAUAUUCCGCCCAGACUCCUACGGGAGGAAUCAGUGGGGAAUCUUCCCCAAUGGGCGAAAGCCUGACGGAGCAACGCCGCGUGAGUGAACAAAGCUUUCUGGUCGUAAAACUCUGUCUUGGGGGAAGAAAAAAAUGACGGUACCCCAAGAGGAAGCCCC